UGUUCAUUUUGUUUUUGAAAGAUUCUCCCCAACGCCCGAAAGCUUGAAGGAAUGAGUAACUCCUCUCUUCUCAGGCCCAGUCCCAAGGCACAAGGCCACUUGUACCAGCAGCGUGAGUCAGCAAGAUAGCAGAAGCAGGAAGAGAGCCGGCCAGAAGACACCUACCCUGGCCGGAAGACACGUACCCCUGAAGAUCGAGAAACAGGCCAUCUGGGUACCACAUAGCAGUUACAUCAGACUGGGACAAUUCCUGUUUACGGAAGACUAUAAAACCCUGCCCCCUACUCAUUUGGUGCUGACGCCAUUUUAGGCCUUAGCCUGCCUGCACCCAGGCGCUCAUUAAAACAGCAGGUUGCUCCACACUGCCUCGUGUUGUCUGUUGGCACACUCUCAAGAGUUUGAACGGAUACAAGAAUCUUUCAUCUGGUGCCGAAACCCGGGAGGGGCUCCGGUCUUCGUCCCCCGUGGACCUACCCCUCCGCCCCAGAAAGCAGGCCACAGCAGCCGGACAAAGGAAGCUCCUCAGCCUCCAGUUGCUUCUCUGUGCAUGCACAUCAGUCACUGAUCUCACCUACUGGGGCCCUGCAGGCCAUGGGGCCACAGCUCCACACAGAAGCCUCCUAGCAAUCCACCUCCACCUGGUGCCUGCUUCAAGUGCGGCAAUGAAGGCCACUGGCCCACACAAUGCCCAAACCCAGGUAAACC
rnacentral:lncRNA from 10 species